CAAGAAUUGCAAUUCAAUAAGAACUAUAAUGCUUCUACUGUGAGAGUAUUUGCACCUGACAGUGCUAUCUAUGUCAGGAACUAUGUUUCUGGGCCUAAAUGGAUACCUGCAAAAGUACUUGUGGCCACAAGACCUUUGUCAUACAAAGUACAAAUUCCUGAUGGUAGAAUAUUACGAAGGCAUGUCGAUCAGAUUCGGGAACGGAGUGAUGAGAUUGUGCCUGCUGCCGGUCCCAGUCAUACUGGGUUUUCUGUGAUACCAGAUGAUGUUGAACCACUGGAUGAUACAAGUCUCAGUUCUCCAGGAGUUGUUGUUGAA